CUCUGAGUGCGGCCGCCAUGUUCUCUGUGUGUCUUUGUCUUUUGUGUGUUCUUUCAUUCUCCACCACCCCCGGCACGGACCCCAACAAGUGGCGGCAGCGAGCAGGGUAGCACCGUAAAUGAAUUCCAGAAGUUGCUGGUACAGGAAUAGUGUGAUCAAUGCACAUUCAUCAGAACCAUAGCCUCCUGGCCCCAGAAUAUUCUCCUGCAUAUCCAACUGUCAAAUCUGCAUUCCCGGCAACAAGAUGGAAGCACCAGAAGAAAGGAAAAAAAUAAGUGGACAACUCUCUUUCUGAAUCAUUGUCGAAGAUGUGGCAAAGACCAGGUCUUAAAAGGAUAAACACAUCCAAGAUGUGAGCUGGCUUUCACCUGACUGCAGAGGGGAUAAAAAAAAUUAACAUCAAAACCCAUGAGCCAUUGUCAUGUAAGUUCCUGAAAUACAUGUACAUUUAUCAUUGAUGAAUUUAUCCUAUUGAGGAGGAAUAUUAACUGCUACACAAGUUAUUUUUUUCAGAUUUCAUGAUCAGUCAUUUGCAAUGGAUUAUUUCAAACAGAGAAAUGUGGACCACCCUGGAGGUCAGAGGAAAUUGCAAUUGCUUCUACCUCCCCAGAGCAAUUUUAGCAGCAAAGUUACUACCCAGGGAAUGAUAAUUUUAUGUUCCAUUAGUGAUAAGUGCUAUUUUUAUACUGCUCAUGACCAUUUCUCACUCUCCGGAUACAUGUGCAGUUAUCUACCCCACAUUCCAAUUAUUUCCAAUUGCAAGAACUAUACUACACAUCUCAGAAGUUCAAAGGUUGUUGUAGAGUGAAAAGAGGACAGUGUAAGGGCUAUGAAUUCACAUAAGUGAAUGCAUAUGUGAUCAUUGGCAUUAAAUAUUAUCCAGUACCUUUUGUGCCCAGAGUUUAAUAGUGAAGAGUCAUUUUCAAGACAUGUUAGGCUCUCACUAUUAGCUUGAAAAUCAGUUGCAAAUAUAGAAUUAUCUAUUGAUGUAAAUAAUACAUUUUUCACUUCUAAUGUAUCUUAAAAAUGUAGAUGCUUCUGGAUAGAAUAAUAGAAAUAAUGCUUUAAGUAGGAUUUAAGUGAAAUUAAACUGACUAUAAUCAUGAAGCAUUUACAGUAGUCCAGGCUUUGUUCUAGGAGUUCUCCAUGAUGAGAUUUCUGAUGUAGUCUUCUAAUUCAUCUACAGCAUCUUCUCCAUACUACAAAUGAGACAAGAAUGGCAAAGAGAUCUUCAUGAACAUAUCAUCUGAAGCGUGUUUAGCGUACAUUAUGAAAAGGAGAAGACUCAAGAAGCAGUGGCAAUGCUAAACUUUACAUGCCACCAUGAGCUUAAUGAUGGAGGUUCUAUCUCAAGGAAUGAAUCAACAGAUUCAUUUCCUCCAUGAAACUCAAAAAAAUUAUAUUGCCAAAUUUACAUUUUAAUAAGGAAGAUACAUUUUAAAUUUAUUAGACUUUGCUGUAUGCUCAAUCUCAUAAUCUGCUACUAGUGAUAUUCUAGUUACCUCUAGUUCGGCAUUUGUUAAACUGACCACUUGUUGUUGCCUUUUUAACUCUGUACAUAGUCAUAAUUCUGAAAGUAAACAAGUCGAUAUGGUCCUUAGAAUGCCUGGCUGCUGAAUCAAAGGGAAUAUACAAAACUCUUCCGCAGCAAAACUCAGAUGUCUAGUGACAAUAAACUCACAGUAAGUGUUACCAAAUGGAUUAAAGAUGAAGUUUAAGCUUUUCUUUUUGUCGAUAUCUUUAUGGAUGGCAUUAUGUAUAAAGCAGUUAAUCUUUUAAUAUAUGACAUAAACUUUUAUAUGUAUCUUAAAAUGUCUUUUCACAAUUCCAAAUACAGAAAAAAAUUGAAAGUCUAUUUUAAAAGUCAUUAAUUUAUCCUAUCCCGUGUAACUAGAUUUGGAAACAGAAGAAAGCAAAUUAGUAUCUGUUGGGUGUCAUCUAAGUUGUAACUAUUUUGGUAGGAAUUCACAUAUAUCACCUCAUUAAAUUAAAUUUAAUGAUCACAGCAAUGACUUGAAGUAGGUAUUUGUAAUCCCGUUUCUCAGCUGGGAACACAGGGAAGCCUGGUGGUUAAGUUGUAACCAGUAAUAACACUGGUAAAAAGAACAGGCUCCAGAUUCAACUUGCCAGGGUCAAAUCUCGGUUUUUCCUCCUUUGUAGGUGUAUGUACUUAACAAACUCAUUUAAUUUUCUAAGCACAAUUUCUCAACUUAGGAACUAGAAAUCACACUUGCACAUGCACAUGACAUACUUAGGAUAAGUAUUUUCACGCCUGCCUGUUUACAUACUCACUAUGAUCAUCAUUCUUAUCAUCAUGGUCAUCCCUGUCUCCCUCGGUUAAAGGACAUGCAAUAAUCUGAGAUUUGAACACAAAGUAACUUGAUCCUCGAAAGCAUACUAUUUCAUCUAUAAACCCUAAAUUGUAACUACCUAUUAGACUACUGAAAUAUAGGUUCCCAUUUUUCUAAGACUGACAUGUAGUAUUGAUAUAGUCAGACCUCCUAUUGGUUUGGUUAGCACAUGUGAUAUUAUCACUUUAACUGCUGCUUCAUCUCUCUCAUGGCUUAAUGGUUCAGUUUGUCUUUUCCAUAGAGAAACUCCUCGAAUUUUAUUUAUAACUCUCUAUCACCUUAUAGUAUACAUGUUCCCUAGGUGACCAAAUGUAUUGUCAAUGCUUCAAUUAGCAGAAAAAUAUUAAAAAGUGAAAAAUGAAAGUUCUGUUACCAGACAGUAUUAUAUUUACAAUUUUAAAAUGUAAAAUUUGACAUAUUUAUUAGAUAACCAUAUGGAUAUGCUACAUAGACAGAUUUAUGGAUCUGAAGUCAGCGAGGAAGUCAGGGCUGGAGGUAGGCAUUUGGGAACCAUUGACCUAUCAACAGUACUUAAAACUGUGGAACUGAGCAUAGAAGCACCACUAACAUAGAUUGCACCGCAAGCGGUUCUUCCUGAGGUUGUGCAAUAUGGUAGCCCCAAAUAUUCACCACUGAUUAUUGAACUUCUCCACCUAAAUAUACCACAAGCAACUCAGCAUGUACCAUAUUAAGCUCAACAUAAUUAUCCUCAGAUAUAUCUUACUUCUCAUGAUGCUUCACUCGGUAAAUGGGUGACCAACCAUUUCUAACUUAUCCAAAGCAGAGACUUGACCAAAGCAGAUGUAUUUCUUGGCUAGGUCUUUACACUUAUCUUCAUAUCUAAUCAACUCUUUUUGACAUUGUCCUUUAGAAAAAGAAAUCACUGCCUCCUGAAAAUAAUUCAAAAGCUAUACAAAAUAUUUUGCAUGUAUUACUCUAAAUCUUGUAACAAGCAUAUGACAUCAAUAUUAUUAUCAUCUGGCUGGGCGCGGUGGCUCAAGCCUGUAAUCCCAGCAUUUUGGGAGGCCGAGA